UUUACGGGAGGCAGCAGUGGGGAAUAUUGGACAAUGGGCGAAAGCCUGAUCCAGCAAUGCCGCGUAAGUGAUGAAGGCCUUAGGGUUGUAAAGCUCUUUUACCCGGGAUGAUAAUGACAGUACCGGGAGAAUAAGCUCCGGCUAACUCCGUGCCAGCAGCCGCGGUAAU
rnacentral:rRNA from 1 species